ACGUCUUUGGGGCAGUAACUAUGAAUAAUGAAAGAUGAGAAAGUAUGAUUUUGGGACAAUGUAAACAAUCUUCCUUUUUCAAGGUGAAGAAACUGAGUUUCAGGGAGGUUUCUACAGUAGUGGCAGGAUUCCAAUCCAGAUCUUCCUGACUGCAACUCAUUCCACUCUAGCACAUUGCUUCCUUAAAGGCAGAGGAAGACACAAUGACUUAUUGUUGUCAUAUGUUCCACAAUAAAACAGAAUAUAUGGAAGUU